rnacentral:rRNA from 1 species
AGUGAACGCUGGCGGUAGGCCUAACACAUGCAAGUCGAACGGCAGCACAGAGGAGCAUGCUCCUUGGGUGGCGAGUGGCGGACGGGUGAGGAAUACAUCGGAAUCUACUCUGUCGUGGGGGAUAACGUAGGGAAACUUACGCUAAUACCGCAUACGACCUACGGGUGAAAGCAGGGGAUCUUCGGACCUUGCGCGAUUGAAUGAGCCGAUGUCGGAUUAGCUAGUUGGCGGGGUAAAGGCGCACCAAGCCGACGAUCCGUAGCUGGUCUGAGAGGAUGAUCAGCCACACUGGAACUGAGACACGGUCCAGACUCCUACGGGAGGCAGCAGUGGGGAAUAUUGGACAAUGGGCGCAAGCCUGAUCCAGCCAUACCGCGUGGGCGAAGAAGGCCUUCGGGUUGUAAAGCCCUUUUGUUGGGAAAGAAAUCCAUCUGGUUAAUACCCGGGUGGGAUGACGGUACCCAAAGAAUAAGCACCGGCUAACUUCGUGCCAGCAGCCGCCGCCG